rnacentral:rRNA from 1 species
GUACCACCCAAACGUUAUUCGGAAUCACUGGGCUUAAAGGGUCCGUAGGCGGCCCAGAAAGUUGGGUGUGAAAUACCUCAGCUCAACUGAGGAAUUGCGCUCAAAACUACUUGGCUCGAGAAAGACAGAGGUGAGCGGAACUGAUGGUGGAGCGGUGAAAUGCAUUGAUAUCAUCAGGAACACCGGUGGCGAAAGCGGCUCACUGGGUCUUUUCUGACGCUGAUGGACGAAAGCUAGGGGAGCGAACGGGAUUAGAUACCCCGGUAGUCCUAGCCUUAAACGAUGAGCACUAGAUCGAGGGGACCCUCACAUCCUCUUGGUCGUAGGGAAACUGUUAAGUGCUCCGCCUGGGGAGUAUGGUCGCAAGGCUG